GAUGAACGCUGGCGGCGUGCCUAAUACAUGCAAGUCGAGCGAACGGACGAGAAGCUUGCUUCUCUGAUGUUAGCGGCGGACGGGUGAGUAACGCGUGGAUAACCUACCUAUAAGACUAGGAUAACUUCGGGAAACCGGAGCUAAUACCGGAUAAUAUUUUGAACCGCAUGGUUCAAAAGUAAAAGACGGUCUUGCUGUCACUUAUAGAUGGAUCCGCGCUGCAUUAGCUAGUUGGUAAGGUAACGGCUUACCAAGGCAACGAUGCAUAGCCGACCUGAGAGGGUGAUCGGCCACACUGGAACUGAGACACGGUCCAGACUCCUACGGGAGGCAGCAGUAGGGAAUCUUCCGCAAUGGGCGAAAGCCUGACGGAGCAACGCCGCGUGAGUGAUGAAGGUCUUCGGAUCGUAAAACUCUGUUAUUAGGGAAGAACAUAUGUGUAAGUAACUGUGCACAUCUUGACGGUACCUAAUCAGAAAGCCACGGCUAACUACGUG
rnacentral:rRNA from 1 species